GACAGUCCCAUGGCAUGAAGUUAGGCAUCUGAAAACGUGUGUGCUCCAAAACAGAGGUCAGUUAAUGGAAAAUUUUAGAAGAGAAAGUUGGGUUAGAGCCAGCACAGCAAGCUGAAAUCUGCUCUUACCUAACUGGCAAAGUCAGACCAGAAAUACAAGCAAGAAUAAGAAAGACACAAAUAUUUUAGAACUAAAUGAGAGGCUGUUUUCUGCAUUCCUUGGCUCAUGGCCCCUUCCAUCUUCAAAGCCAGCAAUGACAAGUUGAGUCUUUCUCAGGUCGCACUACUGACUCUUCUGCCUCCCUCUUCCAUAUCUGAGACACAACCGGAUAAUUUAGGAUAACCUCCUUAUUUUAAGGUUCUGGUGAUUAGAAUGUUCACAUCUUUGGGAGGCCCUUAUUCUGCUUAACACAACUAUUUACUGUUGAAUUUUAUGCCAUCUAUUCAAGGAACACUGGUCUACUUUAUAUAUUUU
rnacentral:lncRNA from 1 species